UUAUGGUUCCUUUUUUUUUUUUUUCAAUGGUACAGAGUACAUUGAUAGAACUAUCCCAACUAGAAAUGCAUGGGGGCAAAAAAAAGUUUUCUAAGAAAGAUUAACAUUUUCUGUUUGAUCAAAACAAGUGCCUUGUAUACUUUCCAAAGAUCAUAUUUAAUUUUUUCAGGCUUGGCAUCCAAUUGACUUUUGGUUUAUACUUUUUUUUUAUUGAUGCUUGUACAUUUUCUCUCUUCCAUCUGGAAAAAAUUUGUUUGUUCUUCAUCUAGCAGACUGAAUUAUCAACAUUAUAUGACUACCCUCCACUUCCAGGAUACAUAGGCCUACAAAUGGUAGUAAUAACAUGUGGAAUUUUAAAUAAAAGAGCAUUUCUGUAU